ACUGCUCAGUAACACGUGGAUAACCUGCCCUGCGGUGGGAAAUAACCCCGGGAAACUGGGGAUAAUGUCCCAUAGGCUACGGAUGCUGGAAUGCUCUGUAGCUCAAAGAUUUAUCGCCACAGGAUGGGUCUGCGGCCGAUUAGGUAGUUGUUGGGGUAACGGCCCAACAAGCCUUUGAUCGGUACGGGUUGUGGGAGCAAGAGCCCGGAGAUGGAUUCUGAGACACGAAUCCAGGCCCUACGGGGCGCAGCAGGCGCGAAAACUUUACAAUGCGGGAAACCGUGAUAAUGGAACUCCGAGUGUCCGUAAAUGCGGACUGUCCGUAUGUCUAAAAAGCAUGCGAAGAAAGGGCCGGGCAAGACCGGUGCCAGCCGCCGCGGUAAUACCGGCGGCUCGAGUGGUGGCCACUAUUAUUGGGCUUAAAGCGUUCGUAGCUGGAUCGCUAAGUCUCUUGGGAAAUCUACCGGCUUAACCGAUAGGCGUCCAAGGGAUACUGGCGAUCUAGGGACCGGGAGAGGUGAGGGGUACUUCAGGGGUAGGAGUGAAAUCCUGUAAUCCUUGGGGGACCACCUGUGGCGAAGGCGCCUCACCAGAACGGCUCCGACAGUGAGGGACGAAAGCUGGGGGAGCAAACCGGAUUAGAUACCCGGGUAGUCCCAGCCGUAAACGAUGCGCGUUAGGUGUAUCGAUGACCACGAGUCAUCGAGGUGCCGAAGGGAAACCGUGAAACGCGCCGCCUGGGAAGUACGGUCGCAAGGCUGAAACUUAAAGGAAUUGGCGGGGGAGCAC
rnacentral:rRNA from 1 species